rnacentral:rRNA from 1 species
UGGGCGACUCUAAGGAGAACUGCCGGUGGCAAACCGGAGGAAGGUGGGGAUGACGUCAAGUCAUCGUGGCCCUUACGGCCUGGGCUACACACGUGCUACAAUGGUCGGUACAAAGGGUUGCCAAGCCGCGAGGUGGAGCUAAUCCCAUAAAACCGAUCGUAGUCCGGAUCGCAGUCUGCAACUCGACUGCGUGAAGUCGGAAUCGCUAGUAAUCGUGAAUCAGAAUGUCACGGUGAAUACGUUCCCGGGCCUU